rnacentral:rRNA from 1 species
CUAGUUGGUAGGGUAACGGCCUACCAAGGCUUUGAUCGUUAGCUGGUCUGAGAGGAUGGCCAGCCACACUGGAACUGAGACACGGUCCAGACUCCUACGGGAGGCAGCAGUGGGGAAUCUUGCACAAUGGGCGAAAGCCUGAUGCAGCGACGCCGCGUGGGGGAUGAAGCAUCUCGGUGUGUAAACCCCUUUCGACCCGGAAGAAUGCCUCGCAAGAGGACUGACGGUACGGGUAUAAGAAGCCCCGGCUAACUACGUGCCAGCAGCCGCGGUAAGACGUAGGGGGCCAGCGUUGUUCGGAAUUACUGGGUGUAAAGGGUUCGUAGGCGGUGUGGCAAGUUGGGAGUGAAAUCUCUGGGCUCAACCCAGAGGCUGCUUCCAAAACUGCUGUGCUUGAGUGUGGGAGAGGCGCGUGGAAUUGCAGGUGUAGCGGUGAAAUGCGUAGAUAUCUGCAGGAACACCCGUGGCGAAAGCGGCGCGCUGGACCACUACUGACGCUGAGGAACGAAAGCUAGGGGAGCAAACAGGAUUAGAUACCCUGGUAGUCCUAGCCCUAAACGAUCAGGACUUGGGGUGCCACCCGUUCGGGUGUCGUCCCGGAGCUAACGCGUUAAGUCCUGCACCUGGGGAGUACGGUCGCAAGACUGAAACUCAAAGGAAUUGACG